UGCAAGUCGAGCGAGAAACUUUUGACUGAUCUUUCGAGUGAAGUCAGGGGUGGAAAGCGGCGAAAGGGAGAGUAACACGUAGAUCACCUGCCCUCGAGUCUGGGAUAGCCACGGGAAACUGUGGGUAAUACUGGAUAACGUCUCCGGACCAAAGAUUUAUUGCUCGAGGAGGGGUCUGCGUCCUAUUAGCUUGUUGGUGAGGUAACGGCUCACCAAGGCCAAAAUGGGUAGCGGGCGUGAGAGCGUGGCCCGUCUCACUGGGACUGAGACACUGCCCAGACACCUACGGGUGGCUGCAGUCGAGAAUCUUCCGCAAUGGACGAAAGACUGACGGAGCGACGCCGCGUGCGGGAUGAAGGCCUUCGGGUUGUAAACCGCUGUCAUAGGGGAGCAAAAUUUGAGCGAUCCUAAGAGGAAGCACAGGCUAAGUUCGUGCCAGCAGCCGCGGUAAUACGAACUGUGCGAACGUUAUUCGGAAUCACUGGGCUUAAAGGGUGCGUAGGCGGCUUUGUAGGUCAGGUGUGAAAUCCCACGGCUCAACCGUGGAACUGCGCUUGAAACCACAAGACUUGAGGGAGACAGAGGUGAGCGGAACUGAUGGUGGAGCGGUGAAAUGCGUUGAUAUCAUCAGGAACACCGGUGGCGAAAGCGGCUCACUGGGUCUCUUCUGACGCUGAGGCACGAAAGCUAGGGGAGCGAACGGGAUUAGAUACCCCGGUAGUCCUAGCUGUAAAC
rnacentral:rRNA from 1 species